rnacentral:sRNA from 1 species
AUCUUGGAUCCGCGGGACAAGAAAAUUCAUGCGAGGGAGACGUGGUGGGCGGUCCUUCCUGUGACACGACCCUUGAGUGACAGUUCUAUUUGAUUGCCUCCGGUACUGUGAGGAAAGGACACGACUCUAUGGUGAGGACUGAUGGACAUACAUUAUCUGAGAAAAGAAACUACCAGGUGACAAACAGCAUGUUUGGUGCUUCAAGAAAGAAGUUUGUAGAGGGGGUCGACAGUGACUACCAUGAUGAAAACAUGUACUACAGCCAGUCUUCUAUGUUUCCACAUCGGUCAGAAAAAGAUAUGCUGGCAUCACCAUCUACAUCAGGUCAGCUGUCUCAGUUUGGGGCAAGUUUAUACGGGCAACAAAGUGCACUAGGCCUUCCAAUGAGGGGAAUGAGCAACAAUACCCCUCAGUUAAAUCGCAGCUUAUCACAAGGCACUCAGUUACCGAGCCACGUCACGCCAACAACAGGGGUACCAACAAUGUCACUUCACACGCCUCCAUCUCCAAGCAGGUAUUUAUUGAUGGACCAGAAUAUUUUUCAAAAUGUAUCUUGGUAGAGUAAACAAACUUUUAG